rnacentral:rRNA from 1 species
UACGUAGGGGGCAAGCGUUGUCCGGAUUUAUUGGGCGUAAAGAGCGUGUAGGCGGCUUUACAGGUCCGUUGUGAAAACUCGAGGCUCAACCUCGAGACGCCGGUGGAAACCGUAAAGCUAGAGUCCGGAAGAGGAGAGUGGAAUUCCUGGUGUAGCGGUGAAAAUUCGUAGAUAUUCGGAAGAACACCAGUGGCGAAGGCGGCUCACUGGACUGGUAUUGACGCUGAGGUGCGAAAGCGUGGGGAGCAACAGGG